UGGACGGGGGGUAGGGGGGUGGGGCUAGCAUGUCUGGCACAUAAACAAAUUCAUGGCCAUGAAAAAUGCCUCACAGACCGUGGAAUCUGGUGUGGUCUCCCCUGUACAGUAUAAGGUCUUCCUCCCUGCGUCAUUGUAGGUGGAUGUGAGCUGAAGAAUCAGGACAGCGGAUGGCAGCCAUCCUCGCAUGCAAGCAUGGCUGUAUUAUGAACCAAAGAAAAGAUGGCCUGCUGUGCAGUGCAGAAAUAGGAAAACUUCUCUAGCCCUGGCCAAAUGCGACUCUACCCUUGUUUGAAAGGAUUUAAAUCAAAGAACUCCAAAGCUGACAGAGCUACACAAGCAGUACACUUGGGUUCCUUUGUGGGCUUGGGGACUGAGAAGACAGACAGACUGACUUCCUUUGUCCUCCAGUGACUCCCUCUCUGCACAGAGUUGAUAGGAUCCAAAGAGAUACAUGUCCAUCAAAGGUAAGCUUUAUACCUUCCUGGCAGUCCUGCGCUAUAAACAACACCAACCCUCUCUUCCCCCAACCUCAAGUCAGAGCAGCCUUCCCAGAUCCUAAAUGAGACUAGGAUUUGCAAAGCAAGGUUAGGAAGCUCACUUAGUUCCUUCACAAAUAUUGACCAGCUAUAUCAUCUGCCCUUUUGAAGAGAGCCAGCAGUUCUUGAGAAUGGAAGAGAAGAGAAUGGAAAAACUACUGCUGUUCUGGACAAGUCUCAAAUUUUCUUUACAUGCUUAGACACUAUACUGACAGGCUCAUUUUUAAGUGGUUACUGUUGUGCUACUUUACACUAUGAGAAAGAGGAGAGCAUACACCUCAGGCAACUGCUCUAUGUACACCCUACACCUCACUGAUAUUAGUCAUCUCCACAAUCAGACUAGCCCUUCAGGACUUUCUCCAAGAGGAAACUAUUCUUCAUUAGAAAAAUUUCUCACCUUUUUCAAAUUCUUUAUUUUUUUGUCUACCUCAGGGUCUCCAGAUGUCACAGAAGGCAGAGUGCUGUGUGAUACAUUCUGUAAUGCUGGAGAUGGUGUUGAUUCCUGGUUCCCAUCAGUUUUGGCCUCCUGUAAGUUAAUAAACUUCAUCUACUGUUCCUGUAAACCAUUUAAACAACAGCUCUGUUGUUUUAUAACAUGGAAACCUAGAAAAGCUGUUGAAUAUUUCUCCCUUUCAUUAGUCCUCUGGUGCUCUCUAUUGUUUGUAAACAGUUUUCAGUUACAUGUUAUAUUAUUUGAGACCGAGAUCCUAUCAGAAAAUGUUAGCUAUAAUAUUAGAGUUCCGAUAUACUGUGUCUUCUUUCUUCCCACCGAGAGAGACAAGAAACAUGCUUAGUAUAAUGAAAUUGGUAGGAAUGAAACUACAAAUAUACAUCCACAAACAUUUCUUAUAAGAGCUGGUGGUCCAUCCUCCCCACUACCAGAAAAACCAAAAUCAGGUCUAAUUUAUGAAGCAAAAGUAUUAUACACUUUAGAAGGGUUUUAGUAAUUGUGGAAGUUAUAGAGCUAACAUCCAAAGCUGAAAUCUGCCAUCUAGCCAUAGAACAGAUACAGUACACGUAGCUGCAAAAGCACAAGCUUAUUUGCUCUGCCCUGCUAUCAUGCCUCCACCCUGACCUAUAGGAAGACCACAUUUAAAGGGUGAGACAAUAUUUUGGUUUUCAAAACCAUUCAGUCUUUUGCCUCUCACCUGAGACUGCGAAGAGUUAAGCAGAAUCUUAGGGACUGGAAGGAUGAAGCGUGUGAUGUUUAUGUGAACAGAACUGACGCUUCCAAUUCAUUUCACUUCACACAGACUAAUGAACAACCAACCGACGGUAACAACUGUCGGUUACUAUCAACCUGGGCCAAUUUCAAGUGAAUGACUUAAAAGGUGUAUCACAUGUGCCAUCCAGUCCCCUGAAAUUUCGCACACAUGGCCAUGAAUAGAUAUUACUUUUAGUGCAAUCCAAAGUUUGUUACUGCAGGACUAGUCAACACAUUUGCAAAAGCUAAUGUAACGUUAUCCUUAAGAGGGCUGAUGCUAGCAGUACCUGUUUAGCAGCUUUCUUUGCUUCGUGCUUCCUUUGAUUUUUAAGCGCCAUCUUUGAUAAUGGCUUAUCACUAUUUCCUGGUUGUGGUUUCAUGUUCUGAGGUGGCUCCUCCUCAUGCUAAGGGACACAUAAGAUUGACAUUUCUGAAAUGCAUGUGCCAUACUUCAAAAUAUCCUACAAAAGAAUGAAAACUCUAGAAAAACUUUUCUACGUGUUAAAGUACCACAGUUUAAAAGGUGACCUGCAAAGGACAAAAAAAUGGGUUUAUGCCCUUUCUGCUUCUUUUGAUGGUUGAAGGCACCCUGAAAAAAGUGUCACCCCCUAAAAAGAUUUUCCUUUGUUUUUUACACUAGCCUUUUAGGACUUGUCUGUCCUGUCUCUCCUAGAGGCAUCUAUAGAUGGCUGGAAAAGUACUAAAGCAAAUACUAGGAAUAUAAAACCUGAACAACUGAGUGGGAAGGUGAUUUUUAGUCAGACUGUUUAAAACUUUGCUUUUUAUUUACACCUAUUUAACUCAAAUGCCUGACAGACAGUUGGAAGCAAAGCACUUUGUUAACAAUUUUACAGUCCUGCCCUUCCAGGUAAGGGCUAAGAAAGCUCCCCCACCAUUUCUUUAGUCCUUCAAGCAAAAACAGGACAGGCAGAACUUGAUUUUCUUUUUACAUCUUAAAGAAGCAAAGAUAGGAAGCUUUUUUCCCCCUUGCUGUUCAUCUUAAGAAAACCCAAAACCAAACCAGGAAUAUACUCUGUUAUUUUCUGAAAAACUAGUUUUAGCAGAUCAGACAUAUUAAAUGCUCAAAUGGGUUUAAAUGUUUUCCACCCACAACUCUGAUUUUUCCUCCAUACAAGCUGGCAGAAUGUAGUUCCCUGAAUUCUGUUACAGGUUGAAUCUUUCUUGCUAACUCUGCUUAUGUAGCACCUGUGAAGUCAGGCCCUAGUAAUAACUAACUGCUGAUAGCCUGUGGCCUGAGGCUUCUAUCUUCCAAGCCUCCUUGGAAGAUAGAAGCCUCAAAAUCAAAGCCUUCUAAAAUAAAAUAAAAAAUAAAAAUAAAAAUAA